GGAUGUGGCUCUGGAGAAGCUCAGAAACGAGUACCGAAGGUGCAAGGCGGCUGUAUGGCUGCUGAAUCUCUCAGGUAAAAGGACAGAGUAGAGGGU
rfam:Oscillibacter sp. CAG:155 genomic scaffold, scf159